GGUUGUGAGGGUGAUCUGGCUGGGACAUUGGUCACCCCAGUGAUCACCAGGGUGGAUUCGGCUGAUCCGGCUAGCUAGGCAGGUGUCCCCUUCCUCCCACAGUGCUCUGUGUGCAUGCUCGGUUAAAGGGGUUGCCCUUCCCUGAUAGAGGAGGGCUGUUCUUCCGUCAAGGGUAUAUGAGUAGCUACGCUCCCCUGCUGGAACCUCCAAACAAGCUCUCAAGGUCCCUUUGUAGGAGAACAUCAGGUGGUCAAGUUUCUAAGAUUCCAGAUACAUCCAAAUGAGACACUGUGUAUGGCAGUCUGCCUUU
ensembl:misc_RNA 7SK 7SK RNA